AUUGAACGCUGGCGGCAGGCCUAACACAUGCAAGUCGAACGAGUGGCGGACGGGUGAGUAAUGUCUGGGAAACUGCCCGAUGGAGGGGGAUAACUACUGGAAACGGUAGCUAAUACCGCAUACCAUCAGAUGUGCCCAGAUGGGAUUAGCUAGUAGGUGGGGUAAUGGCUCACCUAGGCGACGAUCCCUAGCUGGUCUGUGAGGAUGAUCAGCGACAUGGGAACGGAGACACGGUCCAGACUCCUGCGGGAGGCAGCAGUGGGGAAUAUUGCACAAUGGGCGCAAGCAUGGUGCAGCCAGGCCGCGUGUAUUAAGAAGGCCUUCGGGUUGUAAAGUACUUUCAGCGGGGAGGCGUUACCCGCAGAAGAAGCACCGGCUAACUCCGUGCCAGCAGCCGCGGUAAUAC
rnacentral:rRNA from 1 species